rnacentral:rRNA from 1 species
AUUGAACGCUGGCGGCAGGCUUAACACAUGCAAGUCGAGCGGGGUCAUUGAGCUUGCUACUGGACCUAGCGGCGGACGGGUGAGUAAUGCUUAGGAAUCUGCCUAUUAGUGGGGGACAACAUCUCGAAAGGGAUGCUAAUACCGCAUACGUCCUACGGGAGAAAGCAGGGGAUCUUCGGACCUUGCGCUAAUAGAUGAGCCUAAGUCGGAGUAGCUAGUUGGUGGGGUAAAGGCCUACCAAGGCGACGAUCUGUAGCGGGUCUGAGAGGAUGAUCCGCCACACUGGGACUGAGACACGGCCCAGACUCAUACGGGAGGCAGCAGUGGGGAAUAUUGGACAAUGGGGGGAACCCUGAUCCAGCCAUGCCGCGUGUGUGAAGAAGGCCUUAUGGUUGUAAAGCACUUUAAGCGAGGAGGAGGCUACUCUAGUUAAUACCUAGGGAUAGUGGACGUUACUCGCAGAAUAAGCACCGGCUAACUCUGUGCCAGCAGCCGCCGUAA